GGAAAAUCGGUUGCCAAGAGGUUGCCAUUGCCUUCUCCAUUGUCUCUCCUAGUCUGGGCAAAUGAGGUAUUUCUGUUGGCCUAUGAAAAGACUUGGCAUUCUGCCCUUACUCUCUGCAUAGAACAUUCCAGAUCAAUUAGAAGCAUUAGUCUUCAGCUCUGAGAAGCAAAGGAAUGGAAGGCUGUGACUGUGAACACUUUGACCUUGGCACUAUCUCAUGACAAAGUGGUUUUGACUGGGCAACUUGGACAAUAUUAAAGGUGAGUUUCCACCAGUAUUACUUGCAUAAUAAGAAUUAAAAUACUUCUCAGGGUUGUAGAGGCAGGUAUGUGCUUUUUAAGAAAGGUAAGGAAAGAAAUUCCCUUAUGAAAUAUUUAUUGAUUACUUUUUAUAUACUUGUUGUAUCCCUUUUCAUGGUUCUCCCUUCAACUGUAUGAGUGGACUUUGAGUGGCUGUCACCUUCUACCCCACCAAGAAGUUUCCUCCCAGUUCCUCCUGUUCAUGAGAGAAUACAAAAGAACAAUAUUAAGUCAUCCCCUUAGCCAUACCUAUUUGUGUAGGAACAUGGUGGAAAGCAAAUGCUGAUGCCUGGCUUGAAGCACAGCUUAAGAUCAGGAUGAGGAAAUUAAUUAGCCCAUCCAGAUUAGAGAUAGAAGGAGGAAGCACACUUCCGAGUUCCAGACAGUUUUGAGCAUCAGAAUAAUUUUAGAAAGAAUAAGAUAUUUUGAAAUUAUGCAGUGAUCUCUAUUAAAGUGAUAACAGCUGGUACAAACUUGAAAAACCAAGGAAUUUUAUAGAAGGAUAAAACUGCACACUUCCUGUGAAACUGAGCCAGAUGAAUAACAUUAGUGAUUAUAGCAAAAGUACUUACUACUGCCAGAUCAAUACACAACCUGGUUGACCUAUUUUUAUAGAUAUAUAAAAAUAAGCUUAUUUUUAUCCCUGGUAGCUCAGC
ensembl:lncRNA